UUUCAUCCAGUUGGUCUCCUCCUUCCUCCCACUGCCCCUUUUUACUGCAGAAAUCUGUUCUUUUUUUUUCUUUCUCAUCCAUAGUCCCUCUUUAUUGAGUGCUUACUCUAUGCCAGGCACUGUGCUAAAUGCCUUCCUGACUUAUUUCACAACAGUGACAAGUGAGUUAUUUCAUUUACCCCCUAAAAACCUAGUGGAAUGGGCACAGUUGUGAUCCCUAAUUUACAGUGAGGAAACCAAAGCACAGAGAAGUAAUGAAGCGGGUUCAGGGUGUAGAGUAAGAGGAGUGUUAGGUCUCAAACACAGGUCUGUCGCAUUCCAACAUGCUUUUAGCAUGAUUGGGGCCAAGAGCUCUUUCUUAGAUCAUCCUGCAAAGCAUCCAGCUGACCAGGCUGGGCAGCUAGUCUGUUCAGGAGCUCAGUCGCUCGUUCCUGGAGUGUGACGUCCUACCACCCUCACCCUUCAGAAGCGGGUUCAGAGCUUCAUUCUGAAGUCACUGGUUUCCUUUCCCAAAGCAUCUAGUGUCACCUGACACUAUACUAAAACUACACUAAAGUUACCAAGAGGAGUAAGAGCUUGCCUCUGCUCCCUCACCCUGCUGACCCGCGGCCUCUUCCUCACCCACGGCACGGCCUGGCACUCAGGAGGCACUUGCUCUGGGCCAGGGUCUAUGUCCUCUCACCACAGCCUCCCGAAAUCAGGGCCAAACUCAGCCCGGCAGCCAAGGCUCUUUGUGAAUUCAACUAUUCUUGGGUGACUGAACUACGGGGCUCUCCACGCCUCUGCUUGCACAGUGCCCUCUGCCUAGAAGGUUCUCACCAGUCUCCUCCAUCUGGAAUCCCACUCCUCCUUCAAGAGUCAAAUGCCAUUUCAGCAAAGCCUUCUCUAGGACUCUCGUCUGUUCACCACCCACCCCUCCCAGCAAAGUUAAGCACUCUCGCCCAGACCCUGCCCAGUGCAUCAAGAACGUGGACAAGAGAUCCUUGAGGGUAGGACCUACGUCUGCCUUAUGUAUCCUGAACCUACCCGAGAUGAGAGAGACGGAGGAACGCCACAUCACUCAAGAAAUGAGUUCAGCUGGUCUCCCAGAGCAGAAGUGGAAAAGGCUGUGUGGUGGGGCAGAAGGGAGUGAGUUCACCACGGGAGACAAGACUCGGAGUUCAAGUCUCUGCAAGGAUGCAGCCCCUGGAGCUGACCGUGUGCUGCUACAGCCGAGGUCGCGGUUCAUCGCAGCAACAUGUGCCGUCGUUUUGCAGACGAGGAAACAGGACUCAGCCAGCUGAAGAAAUUUGCCUAUUGUCACUCAGGAAUGGUAGAGCCAGAAAUUGGCUUCCAAAUUUCAAGACCCAUGCUGCCCUUUCUACUAGACUGUCUUUAAACCAUCGCUGUGAGUACCUGUAGCCAGGCAGACUUUGGCCCUAGAGUUCUGGGCUGAAUCUGCUAGCUCACCUUCAGGUCAGGACGCCCUCUCUCACAGAGUGUGUCUGCCCAAUGAUGGUGAAUUCUAGAGUCUUCACUGGAGGUGGACAGGAGUGGGCCAGGGAGCUGACAUGGUCUCAUCCAUUUGUCCUUGCUGGAAGGGAGUUGAAGAGCUCCUUUCUUCCCUUUUCCUCCCCGAACCAAAUAAAUAGCACUCUCCCUCCCUCUGAGAAGCGUUCAUAGAUUCCUGUAAGGUAGAGAGGUGAGAGCCACUUAGGGGCAGGCAAUUGCCUUGGGAAGAUUCUGUGUAGCUCGUGUAUUUACAGUCACGCUAUGUGACCACUGGAAUCACUUCUCUGAACCUCAAUUUCCUUAUCUAUAAAACCAGCAGGGGGAGGGGUGGGAUAAUGCCUCCAGGAAAGUAAUAUAGCCAGAGGGCAAGAGCAUGGGCUCUGAAGAUGGAUUACCAGUGUCCAAAUCUUGCUUCUGCUGGCUCUGAGACCUUGGCCAGUUUACUUAACCUCAUUGUGCCUCAGUUUCCUUUAUUGUAAAAGGGGGAUGAAAAUGAUAUUACUUACACACUGGGGCUGCUGUGAGGAUUACAUAAUUAAUACAUAUAAAGCACUUAGUACAGGCUUUUAAAGGGCUGCUCUCAGGAUUCAAUAAAAACAAUUACUAGCAUUUGCGUCAUGAUACC
rnacentral:lncRNA from 1 species